rnacentral:rRNA from 3 species
GAUGAACGCUGGCGGCGUGCCUAAUACAUGCAAGUCGAACGAGUUUUGGUCGAUGAACGGUGCUUGCAUCGUGAUUCAACUUAAAACGAGUGGCGGACGGGUGAGUAACACGUGGGUAACCUGCCCUUAAGUGGGGGAUAACAUUUGGAAACAGAUGCUAAUACCGCAUAAAUCCAAGAACCGCAUGGUUCUUGGCUGAAAGAUGGCGUAAGCUAUCGCUUUUGGAUGGACCCGCGGCGUAUUAGCUAGUUGGUGAGGUAACGGCUCACCAAGGCGAUGAUACGUAGCCGAACUGAGAGGUUGAUCGGCCACAUUGGGACUGAGACACGGCCCAAACUCCUACGGGAGGCAGCAGUAGGGAAUCUUCCACAAUGGACGCAAGUCUGAUGGAGCAACGCCGCGUGAGUGAAGAAGGCUUUCGGGUCGUAAAACUCUGUUGUUGGAGAAGAAUGGUCGGCAGAGUAACUGUUGUCGGCGUGACGGUAUCCAACCAGAAAGCCACGGCUAACUACGUGCCAGCAGCCGCGGUAAUACGUAGGUGGCAAGCGUUAUCCGGAUUUAUUGGGCGUAAAGCGAGCGCAGGCGGUUUUUUAAGUCUGAUGUGAAAGCCCUCGGCUUAACCGAGGAAGCGCAUCGGAAACUGGGAAACUUGAGUGCAGAAGAGGACAGUGGAACUCCAUGUGUAGCGGUGAAAUGCGUAGAUAUAUGGAAGAACACCAGUGGCGAAGGCGGCUGUCUGGUCUGUAACUGACGCUGAGGCUCGAAAGCAUGGGUAGCGAACAGGAUUAGAUACCCUGGUAGUCCAUGCCGUAAACGAUGAAUGCUAGGUGUUGGAGGGUUUCCGCCCUUCAGUGCCGCAGCUAACGCAUUAAGCAUUCCGCCUGGGGAGUACGACCGCAAGGUUGAAACUCAAAGGAAUUGACGGGGGCCCGCACAAGCGGUGGAGCAUGUGGUUUAAUUCGAAGCAACGCGAAGAACCUUACCAGGUCUUGACAUCUUUUGAUCACCUGAGAGAUCAGGUUUCCCCUUCGGGGGCAAAAUGACAGGUGGUGCAUGGUUGUCGUCAGCUCGUGUCGUGAGAUGUUGGGUUAAGUCCCGCAACGAGCGCAACCCUUAUGACUAGUUGCCAGCAUUYAGUUGGGCACUCUAGUAAGACUGCCGGUGACAAACCGGAGGAAGGUGGGGAUGACGUCAAAUCAUCAUGCCCCUUAUGACCUGGGCUACACACGUGCUACAAUGGAUGGUACAACGAGUUGCGAGACCGCGAGGUCAAGCUAAUCUCUUAAAGCCAUUCUCAGUUCGGACUGUAGGCUGCAACUCGCCUACACGAAGUCGGAAUCGCUAGUAAUCGCGGAUCAGCACGCCGCGGUGAAUACGUUCCCGGGCCUUGUACACACCGCCCGUCACACCAUGAGAGUUUGUAACACCCGAAGCCGGUGGCGUAACCCUUUUAGGGAGCGAGCCGUCUAAGGUGGGACAAAUGAUUAGGGUGAAGUCGUAACAAGGUAGCCGUAGGAGAACC